rnacentral:rRNA from 1 species
GACGAACGCUGGCGGCGUGCCUAAUACAUGCAAGUCGAACGCAGUGGGGACGGGUGAGUAACCCGUGGGUAACCCCCCAUCAGAGGGGAUAACACUUGGAAACAGGGGAUAAACCGCUACUGAUGGAUGGACCCGCGGUGCAUUAGCCAGUUGGUGCGGUAACGGCUCACCAAGGCCACGAUGCAUAGCCGACCUGAGAGGGGUAUCGGCCACAUUGGGACGGAGACACGGCCCAGACUGCUACGGGAGGCAGCAUUAGGGAAUCUUAGGCAAUGGACGAAAGUCUGACCGAGCAACGCCGCGUGAGUGAAGAAGGUUUUCGGAUCGUAAAACACUGUUGUUAGAGAAGCGGUAUCUAACCAGAAAGCCACGGCUAACUACGUGCCAGCCGCCGCGGUAAUUC